GUGGACUACUUUGCUGACCCUUGCAGAAGGUCAUUCUGAAGUGUUUUAGCUUCAGCGGAUAAAGUAAACAAUACAGACACGCAAAGAAAUACAGCCUAAAGAGCCAUGCUAGAGAUGCAUUGGGUUUAAGUUUUAAAGUUUGAUGAACUAAAAUGUAAGCUGUUACGACAUCACACACCCUUUCAGUUUAAACACUAUAGUCCUAUAUUCUCCUUUUAAUACCUAUGUAUUUAUUUAUGACAUCAUUUACUCAUUUUCAUAUAAUUUCAAAACCUGUGUGGUCAUUAUAAUGGACAAAGUAUCUUCUAUAUGUUCAACAGAAGAAAGAUAGUCAUAGAGAUGGUAUGAGGGUGAGUAAAUGAACUAGCCCUUUAAACAAACCACCUUUUCAAAGCCUGGCACCACAGCCACUGUGCCUGUCUUUGCACACUCUUUGAGGAGGAUUGAACAUCGGGGAGAACAGCAUUAGCUCACAGGAUAAGAGGACAGAGGUUUGUGAGAUAGAAGUAGGCCCAGAGACAUGCAACAAAGACAUAUGAGAGACUUAAGUAUGGCACAUUUCAAAGACUGACCUUUAGUACAUGCAGGGUCUGUGCUGUGGUCUCACUGCCAUGUCUGUUCAGAAGCUUCAGUGCUUCUUUAUAAAGACGACAUAGUAGCCAAGAAUAAAUCAUGGCAGACUUCUUUCAGACUUUUAUAGCAGCUUUUCUCAAUUGUACUGUAGUAAUUUGUAAAUCAUGGCAGACUUCUUUUCAGACUUUUUAUAGCAGCUUUUUCUCAAUUGUACUGUAGUAAUUUUGAAAUGACACAAAAUGUUAGCUAAUGUACUUUUUCUAUUGCUACUACUACAAAUAAUAAUAAUAAUAAUAAUAAUAAUAAUUAUUAUUAUUAUUAUUAUUAUAAGACAAAAGCCUUUGGUUUGUUUGGUUGCUAAGAUCAAACAGCUUUUUAAACCACAGAAAAGAAAAGAAAGUGAAGAUUAAUAUCAAUAGGCAACAACUCAGAUCAAAAAGACCAAACAAGAAUCAUUUGCAAACAUUAGCGAAACAUUGCUAAUCCAACUGAAGCAGGUACUUCCAAAGGCUGUGAUCAUCAGUUGCUUUGUCUGUCAGUGAGUGGCUCAAGACAUUUGGGAUAAGUCUUACUAACCUGUAGCUCUGCAUCCAGGGAUGGGCAGUAUUUAUGAUACAUGUAUUUCAAAUACAUAUUUCAAAUACAAAAUAA
rnacentral:lncRNA from 1 species